UACACAUUAGUCUAAAGUGGAUUUUGUUGGGUCUUCUUAUCUAAGCUGGAAAUACAUUAUGCAUAAUUCACUUUCCUGCAGCGUUCUGGAUUAGAGUCAGCCACCAGAGGCGUGCAUGCAUUACGAUUUGGAAGGCAGAAGUACACCGGCACUUAUUUUCCUGUCACACUCGAAUGCUGGUGCGAGGCACCAGGCAUACUGCGGCUGUUCAAGCAUAUUGACGCCGAUAUUCUGACUCCUUGUGGAAAUGGAGCCGCAUCCUGCCUUGCAGAGCAUCAGCCAGAUCUUGUUUUUUUACUUUCUCGGAAUCAUGCAGGCAGGUGCGGCUGCUGGAGCAGGGAAUGGGCCUGCCGUUUAUUUAGCCCCUAUCAGCUUCCUAGCUCCAGCUGCUCUAAUUGCAGGGCUAGGCGUAUGUUUAGCUCUAUGGCAAGAGCCUCCAGCUUCUCCUGCAUAUCUCAAACCUCAUCAAAAGCUGGCAGCUUGGAGGUAGUGAGACACAGAGGAGAGAUCCAGUUCAUCAAGAAUAUUUCUACAAGUACCCUAUCCAUAAGAGAGACGGUGGAUACUCCAUCUGCAGGUUUCCAGCCUUAUGCCUCUGUGUGUAGAAUUGAGACUCCCAGAACUGUGACUCUCUUUGUCUCAGAGCUUUUCCCAAACAUUAGUGUUUGUGCUCCAAAAGGGACAGGCCAACAAAUUAACACUUAGCACCCCCAUCCCUAAACCAAGACUGACAGAAGUUGAUAUGUAAUUUCCUCAAUUUAUUGGUAAUUAUAGUCAUAUAACAUUGAGCCAGGUGUUUUAAACACUUUUCCAGGCAGAAUUAAGCCUUAGUCACUUGCAGCUGUAAUUAGCUUGAUAACACACCUAUCCUUACAUUUCCUUACUCCUAUAUCAGCUUUUGUUAUACUUUUCAAAUAAAAUACCUGAGCUAG